rnacentral:tRNA from 1 species
GCGGAGAUGGCGGAAUUGGUAGACGCGCACGUUUGAGGGGCGUGUGAAGCAAUUCGUGAGGGUUCGAGUCCCUCUCCCCGCA